AAGUCGUAACAAGGUUUCCGUAGGUGAACCUGCGGAAGGAUCAUUAUCGUACAACCGAGGUGCAUAGGCUGUCGCUGACCUUCAAAGGUUGUGCACGCCCAAGCGCUCUCACACAUCCAUCUCACCUUUGUGCAUCACCGCGUGGGUCCCCUUUGCAGGAGGGCUUGCGUUUUCACAUAAAACUUGAUACAGUGUAGAAUGUUUUAUUUGCGGUCACACGCAAUCAAUACAACUUUCAACAACGGAUCUCUUGGCUCUCGCAUCGAUGAAGAACGCAGCGAAAUGCGAUAAGUAAUGUGAAUUGCAGAAUUCAGUGAAUCAUCGAAUCUUUGAACGCACCUUGCGCUCCUUGGUAUUCCGAGGAGCAUGCCUGUUUGAGUGUCAUUAAAUUCUCAACCUUUAUCACUUUUUGCUGAUAAUGGCUUGGAUAUGGGGGUCUAUUUUGCUGGCUUCUUUACGGAUGGUCAGCUCCCCUUAAAUGCAUUAGCCGGUGCCCCGCGUGGACUGUCUAUUGGUGUGAUAAUUAUCUACGCCGUGGACAUCUGCAAUCAUAUGGGUUUGCACUGCUUCCAACCGUCUGUUCAAUCAGACAAUACAUGACAAUUUGACCUCAAAUCAGGUAGGACUACCCGCUGAACUUAA
rnacentral:rRNA from 1 species